rnacentral:rRNA from 1 species
GACGAACGCUGGCGGCGUGCCUAAAACAUGCAAGUCGAACGAGACCUUCGGGUCUAGUGGCGAACGGCGGAGUAAUACAUAAGCAACGUGCCCCAAAGACUGGGAUAUACAGAGGAAACUCUGGGCAAUACCGGAUAUGACGGAGAGAUGGCAUCUUCUUUCCAUCAAAUGGUUUUUCGCUUUGGGAGCGGCUUAUGGCCUAUCAGGUAGUUGGUGAGGUAACGGCUCACCAAGCCGACGACGGGUAGCGGGUCUGAGAGGAUGAUCCGCUCGAGUGGGACUGAGACACGGCCCACACACCUACGGGUGGCAGCAGUUGGGAAUCUUGCACAAUGGGGGAAACCCUGAUGCAGCGACGCCGCGUGGAGGAUGACGGAUUUAGGUCUGUAAACUCCUUUUAUCAGGAAAGACUUAGGACGGUACCUGAUGAAUAAGCCCCGGCUAACUACGUG